rnacentral:rRNA from 1 species
AUCAACGCUGGCGGCGGUUUGCCUAACAACAUACAAGUCGAACGCGGCGUUUACUCGCAAGGGGUAACUGAGGUGGCGGACGGGUGAGUAUACACGUGGGGUGACCCUAACCCUUGAAAGUGGGGAAUAACGUCCCGAAAGGAGUGGACGCUAAUACCGCAUAAACAUCCUGCCCUUAGUAACGGGUGGAGAUCAAAGCAGGGGAUCGCAAAGGAACCUGGCGCUUGAAGAGGGGCCCGCGUCCGAUUAGCAUAGUUGGUGAGGGUAAUGGCCUCACCAAGGCGACGAUACGGUAGCCGGCCUGAGAGGGCGGAACGGCCACACAUGGGACUGAGACACGGCCCCAGACUCCUACGGGACGGCAGCAGUGGGGAAUUGUUCACCAAUGGGCGCAAGCCUGAUGACCGCAACGCCGCGUGGAGGCAUGAAGGUCUUCGGAUUGUAAACUCCUGUUGCCCGGGACGAACGGCUCCCAACCUAAUACGUUGGAGUGUGAACGGUACCGGGUUGAGGAAGCCCCGGCUAACUCUGUGCCAGCAGCCGCGGUAAUAUAUAGAGGGGGCAAGCGUAUAGUUCGGAAUUACUGGGACGUAAAGGGCGCGUAGGCGGCCUGCUAAGUCGAACAGUGAAAUCCCCGAGCUCAAACUCGGGAAACUGCGUCCGAUACUGGCAGGCUUGAAUCCGGGAGAGGGGAUGCGGAAGUUCCAGGGUGUAGGCGGUGAAAUGCGUAGAUAUCUGGAGGAACACCGGUGGCGAAGGCGGGCAUCCUGGACCGGCAAUUGACCGCUGAGGCGCGAAAAGCCAGGGGAGAGCAAACGGGAUUAGAUACCCCGGUAGUCCUGGCCCUAAACGAUGAAUGCUAUGGAUGUGGCGGGUAUCGAAUCCCUGCCAGUGCCGAAGACUAACGCAUUAAGCAUUCCGCCUGGGGAGUACGGUCCGCAAGGCUGAAAACUCAAAGGGAAAUUGACGGGGGCCCGCACAAGCGGUGGAGCAUGUGGUUUAAUUCGACGCAACGCGAAAGAACCUUACCCAGGCUUGAACAGCAGGUGACACUCUACGAAAGUAGACUUCCGCAAGGACGCCUGUAGAGGUGCUGCAUGGCUGUCGUCAGCUCGUGUCGUGAAGAUGUUGGGUUAAGUCCCGCAACGAGCGCAACCCUUGUCUUCUGUUGCCUAUCGGGUUAUGCCGGGCACUCUGAAGAGACUGCCGGUGACAAUAACCGGGAGGAAGGCUGGGGAUGACGUCAAGUCAGCAUGGCCUUAUACUUCUGGGGCCACACACGUGCUACAAUGGCCGGUACAAACCGUCGCGAGGCCCGCGAGGGGGGAGCUAAUCGGAGAAAGCCGGUCUCAGUUCGGAUUGUAGGCUGCAACUCGCCUGCAUGAAGUUGGAAUCGCUAGUAAUCGCGGAUCAGCACGCCGCGGUGAAUACGUUCCCGGGCCUUGUACACAACCGCCCGUCACAUCACGAAAGCUGGCCUGUACCUAGAAGUAGCUGAGCCAACCCGCAAGGGGAGGCAAGUUCCUAAGGUAUGGUCAGUGAUUGGGGUG